rfam:Schistosoma curassoni strain Dakar, Senegal genome assembly, scaffold: SCTD_contig0021565
AUCCGGCUGACGAGUCCCAAAUAGGACGAAACGCGCGUUCUGGAU